AGUGAACGCUGGCGGUAGUCCUAACACAUGCAAGUCGAACGGCAGCACAGUAAGAGCUUGCUCUUACGGGUGGCGAGUGGCGGACGGGUGAGGAAUACAUCGGAAUCUACUUUUUCGUGGGGGAUAACGUAGGGAAACUUACGCUAAUACCGCAUACGACCUACGGGUGAAAGCAGGGGAUCUUCGGACCUUGCGCGAUUGAAUGAGCCGAUGUCGGAUUAGCUAGUUGGCGGGGUAAAGGCCCACCAAGGCGACGAUCCGUAGCUGGUCUGAGAGGAUGAUCAGCCACACUGGAACUGAGACACGGUCCAGACUCCUACGGGAGGCAGCAGUGGGGAAUAUUGGACAAUGGGCGCAAGCCUGAUCCAGCCAUACCGCGUGAGUGAAGAAGGCCUUCGGGUUGUAAAGCCCUUUUGUUGGGAAAGAAAAGCAGCAGGUUAAUACCCCGCUGUUCUGACGGUACCCAAAGAAUAAGCACCGGCUAACUUCGUG
rnacentral:rRNA from 1 species